rnacentral:RNase_P_RNA from 1 species
CCAGACGGCCGGGCGGCCGCUGACGCGCGUUUCGCGCGUUGGAGGAAAGUCCGGGCUCCACGGGAAUACGGUGCCGGCUAACGGCCGGCGGGGGCGACCCCAGGGAAAGUGCCACAGAAAACAAACCGCCGGAUGGCCAGGAGCCGGACGGCAAGGGUGAAACGGGGCGGUAAGAGCGCACCGCGCCCCUGGUAACAGGGGCGGCACGGUAAACCCCACCGGGAGCAAGACCGAAUAGGGGCAGCCGGCGGCGUCGGACGCUUGCCGUUCCGGCGUGACGCGAGGGCGUUCCCGCCCUGCUGCCCGGGUUGGUCGCGUGAGGCGCGCCGCGAGGCGCGUCCCAGAGGAAUGGCCGUCCCAUGCGCGAGCAUGGACAGAACCCGGCUUACAGGCCGUCUGGCGCC